GGAUACUUCACUAGUUCUGCCCUGACAACAUGCUGCAGCCACAUGUCAAGCAGUAGACAGAACAAGGAGGCGAGUGAAAAAACAGAGAGACACAGAUCAACUAUUAGAAAGGAAGACAAGACCGACACAAAUGAACAGCAGCAACAAACAAAAGCCAUCGCAUUCCAGACACCAUGCAGCAUGAUCAGUGCGCCCACUUGCCAGCUUUGUGUGCUGUUGGGAAGAGUCUCUGAAGCAAUAUCUCUCCCCGCACACUCCUUUCAGAGCAAAAGGUUUAUUGGGAAGACCUCACCAACGACAGUCCUGAACUGAUCCCCAUCCUCCAACAUGGAGCACCAGGAAUGCCUGGAAUCAUCACAGCACUUGCACCUUUGAGUGUCCAUGCAUGAGUACAAGAACGUGCAUUGGGGCUGCAAAACAUGCACUGCAAAGUCUUCAUGCUGAUCUGUCUAAAGGAAAAGCUUGACUCACAAAGCCCAGGCCCAUCAAAGCAAUCAAUGAAGUUUAAUCUCAGCAGAGGGGCCUUUACCAUUCAUUUGCCAUUGACCUCCUCUUGGCAAGUGCCUACUGUAGCAGAAUGCAUUUGUGGCUGGAGCCACAAAUCAUCAUCUCCCUUCUUUUAUCUUCUGGAGACUUACUAAAAAAACUGGUUUGUGAAGGAUGGUGCUUCUGCAGGGAAGGAAGAAAAAUCUAUCGCAGGGUUCUGCCAUGGAGGGAAAGAUCAUAUGUACUUGCCUAGUUAGCUCUGGCGUUAAAAAACAGAUGCUUGCUGGACUAUGGUCUGGAACAAAUGAAGAUUUCUGUUAGGAUGAGUGUCAAAAACAGAGAACUUGCCUAAGGCAAGGGACAUAGAGAGUUGAAGAAACGGGAAGAUUUAACUGUGUGCAACUGAUAGACAGGAGCUGGGGGGGUGGACCUAGGAGUGGAGUUUUAUGUACAGUGGUUUUCCCAGGGAAGCGCAGCAGUGUUUAAUUUCCAGAAAUACACAUGCAGAGACUUUGGCUUAUGGGGAGCAGUGUCAUCUGCCAUAUUAGACAGGUUGUUCUUGCUUUUGCAGAACAUUCAAAGGCACUGGCUGGCAGAAAUAACGGAUUUGCCACUAGGUCCAGCCAUAAUUCAUGAUUUCGGUUCUUUGCACAAUGUUGAAAUAAACCCAAGCUUCAUAUUUAAAUGACUGAAUCCCCAAGAGGAAGAUGAAAUAAUGCUAUAUUUUUUGGAUGGAACAAAAUUCGUAAAAGGGCAGGAGAUCUGAAUGUUGGAAAGGCUAAAUCCUAAUUUCUUAGCUCAAAGAAGAGAAAAUGUCUUAGUUAUUUGAGUUUAAGGGAGCCAUACCUUUUAGGUUUCUUAAAAACAGAUUGUUAUAAAGAUGACCAAAAGAACACCAACUACAUUUGCAUUUGAUAGUUCACACAAUGGUCAGAGCUUCACCAGCUAAGACAGAGGUGGGGCACUGCCAGCUCAGAGGCUGCAGCUAGCCCACAGACCCUUUCCAUUCAUGGCCCUAAUCCAACCUGCUCCUAUGCGCCAUUUGUUGUCCUGUUUUGUUACAUCUAAAUUUAGCUUCAAACGAAGUCCUGCUUCGUUACAUCUAAAUUUAGCUUCAAAAGCAAAUUGUGAAGACUCUCAGGGUGAAUAGGGAAGUGGUGGCUUACUAGAAGGGAAGGAGCCUGGCAAGAGAGAUGUAAACUGCUUUGUUUUUUCUGGUAGGAAGAGCCUGGCUGGAUAGUUUUCUGACCAUCAUAUGGUUUCUAAUGUGCUUGGGGGGGUUCUAACAUUUGGAGGUUAUUGGUUUCUAGUGCAGGGUGACUUUCUGGGUUACUAUUGCUAAAGGAUGGCUAUGUAAAUGCAUAAAAUAAAUAAAAUAAUAUCUCAAAAACAAACAGGAAACAAGAAAAUGAGGCUUAAUCUAGGACUACAAAUCAGUUUCAGAUGGAAAAGACUAAUGGAAAUAAAAAUUAAUUGAUACCCUUCCCUUCAAUGACACACAUAAUUAACAACAAAAUAAUGCAAGCCAGCAGAUAAAAAUACAACGGCAAACAGAAAGAUAAAAGCAACAAUUUAAAAAGUUACACCACAGAAUUUGGUGGUUGUUGUUUGUUU